rnacentral:lncRNA from 1 species
UGGAACUGUAAGAGCAGAGAGGAGGAGAAGGCUCACCAUGAAGACAAAAGAAGUCCUGAGCCUUGGAUUUUCUUCCUCUAGGGCUUUGUGGACCCACAGAUUGGUAGAAGUUCUGUGAGGGCUGACUUCUCCCCAUCUGUCCCAGAUGGAUCCCUUAAGGCUCAGGACACCUCAGAGGACUGGUGCAUGGGCUGCAGCCAGCCUGACCCAGCUCUAUAAAGAAGCUCACCCUUUACAGAUGCCCCAGAGAGGCCCCCAUCCUGCCCUGCAGCCAGCUUCCUGGGCAAGUGGGAUCAGGCACUCGGGGUCUCCCUCCUCCAGGGUUUCCUGAAACAGGAUGCAUUCAGCCCUUGUAGAGUUGCUGGGGAAGUGGAAGGAAAACAGAGGUGACUCUUGAAGCCCCAGGAGCUGACCUUAGAUCUUGACACUCCUGGUGUGUGCAAAGGUCUGAGGAGACGGCCAGAUUGAGGUAAAGCAGUAAAAAUCCGUGCUUGUCAGGAAAGUAGCAAGAGCCGAGUUCUACACUAACCAUUGGCUGGCCUGGGGCAGCCUGCAGCUGCACAACUGCCUCGUACAAUGGCAUGGACAAGCAGUGUCGGUGACGUAGCAGGCCGCUGGGGACCUGGGAGACAUCCUGCUGCUGCAGGAGUCCUGUGCAGAGCAGAGGAGAGAGCAGUUUGGCAAGUGCAGGGGUCCCACUCUUCUUUUGGUUGGUGGCAGGGAGCAGGUGGGGCCUAACCUGGGUGGACAGUGUCUACCUCCCUUCUGUGCAUUUUGCAUUGGCCUUAAUUGGUUCUCCCGGGAUAGUCACGAAAGCCCGACCUUUGUUCCAGGUAAAGUGCUGCAUGUUUCAUGUGUACAGCUCAUUUAAUCUUCACAGGACCUUAUGAAGUAGUUAUUAUAUCUAUUAUCAUCACAGAAAAGAACACUGAGCCUCAGAGAGGUCAAGCAAUUGGCCCAAGAUCACACAGCCUGCAAGAAACAGAGAUGGGACUCAGACCCUGGUCUAUUUGGCUCCCAUGUGCCUUACUACUAUGUUAUACCCACCCCUCCAGUCUCCUUCUAGGUCACCAGCUGGGAUGGGAGGCCAACUCUCCAAAUCAGAAGAGUUUUUCUGGGUCAGGAAUUUGAGCAGGACUUGCCUACGUGAUUUUGGCUUGAGGACUCUCACAUGGUGGUAAUAGAUGGAAGUUGAAACUGGAGCAGAGGAGCAGAAGUGGCUGGAGUGGCAGGAACUGGCCAGGCAUCUCUUCCUCUCUGGAUAUAUAGACACUGGGCCUCUUCAUCGGGUCUUUCUGCAGGGCUGGUUGUGCUUCCUCACUGCAUGGUGGCUCAGGGCAGUCAGACCACCUGCGUGGUGGCUCAGCACUCCAGCACAGUGUCCCAUCACUCAAGGUAGAAGCUGCAUUGUCCUCUAGGGCUUAGCCUCUGAAGCCAUGCAGCGUCACUUCCUGAGCUUCCUUGUAACCACUUCCUGUUGGUUAUAAGUGAGGCACAAGCCCAUCCAAAUUCAAAGGAAGAAGAGUUAGACUCCAUCACUUAAUAGGAACGUGGCAAGAUUCUAGAAGAGCAAAUGGGAUAAGAAUUAUUGUUGCAUUCAUCUUAGAAAAAUACAAUCCGCUACAAAGCCCCCUCAUGGAGCACCCAGAUCUGAGAAGGGGGUGCUUUCCACUAAAGUCUCUGCCUCCAUUUUCCACUUCCUCUGCUUCCUUCUCCUUCUUGUGUUCUCCAUGAGCAUUAAACCAAAAUAAACAGUUCUGAGUACCCCUUUUAAUCAAGAUGUGUGAAAAAAUGUGGAAGCUCAUCCUUGGAAGAAUAAUAAUAGAAACUAGCUUUAUUUAUCCUGGGUAAGAGACGUAAGAGGAGAUGAUGGGAUCACUAUCCCAGCACAUGUGAAA